rnacentral:rRNA from 1 species
GGAGCGUUCUGUAAGCCUGCGAAGGUGUGCUGUGAGGCAUGCUGGAGGUAUCAGAAGUGCGAAUGCUGACAUAAGUAACGAUAAAGCGGGUGAAAAGCCCGCUCGCCGGAAGACCAAGGGUUCCUGUCCAACGUUAAUCGGGGCAGGGUGAGUCGACCCCUAAGGCGAGGCCGAAAGGCGUAGUCGAUGGGAAACAGGUUAAUAUUCCUGUACUUGGUAUUACUGCGAAGGGGGGACGGAGAAGGCUAUGUUGGCCGGGCGACGGUUGUCCCGGUUUAAGCGUGUAGGCUGGUUUUCCAGGCAAAUCCGGAAAAUCAAGGCUGAGGCGUGAUGACGAGGCACUACGGUGCUGAAGCAACAAAUGCCCUGCUUCCAGGAAAAGCCUCUAAGCAUCAGGUAACAUCAAAUCGUACCCCAAACCGACACAGGUGGUCAGGUAGAGAAUACCAAGGCGCUUGAGAGAACUCGGGUGAAGGAACUAGGCAAAAUGGUGCCGUAACUUCGGGAGAAGGCACGCUGAUAUGUAGGUGAAGUCCCUUGCGGAUGGAGCUGAAAUCAGUCGAAGAUACCAGCUGGCUGCAACUGUUUAUUAAAAACACAGCACUGUGCAAACACGAAAGUGGACGUAUACGGUGUGACGCCUGCCCGGUGCCGGAAGGUUAAUUGAUGGGGUCAGCGCAAGCGAAGCUCUUGAUCGAAGCCCCGGUAAACGGCGGCCGUAACUAUAACGGUCCUAAGGUAGCGAAAUUCCUUGUCGGGUAAGUUCCGACCUGCACGAAUGGCGUAAUGAUGGCCAGGCUGUCUCCACCCGAGACUCAGUGAAAUUGAACUCGCUGUGAAGAUGCAGUGUACCCGCGGCAAGACGGAAAGACCCCGUGAACCUUUACUAUAGCUUGACACUGAACAUUGAGCCUUGAUGUGUAGGAUAGGUGGGAGGCUUUGAAGUGUGGACGCCAGUCUGCAUGGAGCCGGCCUUGAAAUACCACCCUUUAAUGUUUGAUGUUCUAACGUGGACCCGUGAUCCGGGUUGCGGACAGUGUCUGGUGGGUAGUUUGACUGGGGCGGUCUCCUCCUAAAGAGUAACGGAGGAGCACGAAGGUUGGCUAAUCCUGGUCGGACAUCAGGAGGUUAGUGCAAUGGCAUAAGCCAGCUUGACUGCGAGCGUGACGGCGCGAGCAGGUGCGAAAGCAGGUCAUAGUGAUCCGGUGGUUCUGAAUGGAAGGGCCAUCGCUCAACGGAUAAAAGGUACUCCGGGGAUAACAGGCUGAUACCGCCCAAGAGUUCAUAUCGACGGCGGUGUUUGGCACCUCGAUGUCGGCUCAUCACAUCCUGGGGCUGAAGUAGGUCCCAAGGGUAUGGCUGUUCGCCAUUUAAAGUGGUACGCGAGCUGGGUUUAGAACGUCGUGAGACAGUUCGGUCCCUAUCUGCCGUGGGCGCUGGAGAACUGAGGGGGGCUGCUCCUAGUACGAGAGGACCGGAGUGGACGCAUCACUGGUGUUCGGGUUGUCAUGCCAAUGGCACUGCCCGGUAGCUAAAUGCGGAAGAGAUAAGUGCUGAAAGCAUCUAAGCACGAAACUUGCCCCGAGAUGAGUUCUCCCUGACCCUUUAAGGGUCCUGAAGGAACGUUGAAGACGACGACGUUGAUAGGCCGGGUGUGUAAGCGCAGCGAUGCGUUGAGCUAACCGGUACUAAUGAACCGUGAG